GCACUGUUAGUUGAUUUCAAUUUUAGAUGCACGCCGUCUAGGGAGCAAACGUGUGCUCCCUAAAAUUCCCUAGCACACACCCGUUUUAGGAAAGUUUUUGUCCCCUCUCACGAAAAAGGUAAGCCCACGUGACUAGCCCUCCGUACGGUGCCCAACAACACCGAUCCCACCUUAUCCUUGUCCCUUUCCCUCCCCCACAAAAACAAAAGCCCCUCACACCCCCACGCUGCCUGCUAGAGCCUAUCUUGUUUCUUCUUCAUCUUCUUCCUUCCAGAUCUAGUUCCAUAGCUCCAACGCCAUUGCCAUUGGCGCACAAAAGAAAAGAGCUGCAAAAAAACAUAAACUCUCAUCAAACUCUUACUUACAGGUACCCUGCGCACUACUAGUAAAGAGCAAUUGUGUACAAGUUUCAGACAAAAAAUUGUGGCCCUAUUUUCUGUAUUCUGUGGAACAUCAAACAUCAAGUUAUGAUGCCCGGGGCAAAUGCAUUUGUGGUUGCGGGCAAGUUGUUCUCUGAUCUAAGCAAUUUGCAUAACUCCAUGUUUUUUCUUUUUUAAAAUAGAGAUUGAAAAAGGUAGCAACUUGUACCAGGUUUGUAGGCAAUUUCCAUAUAUUGUACAACCAACUCAUUGUCUUGCUUGCCGAAGAAAAAGAAAGUGGAAGAUAGGAGCAACUGCUACUUGGUUUGUAGGCAAUUCGCCUACAAGUUUCAGGCAAAAAAUGUGAGCAUAUAUUGUGUGGGCAUCUCGAUGAAGAAACAACCUGCAUGGUUUGUGAGUUUAUAAAACACCCUAGCCCUAGGAGGGCAGUUAACUGGCUUGUAACCCAAGGAAAAAAGAUCGAGAAGGGGUUGGGGCAGGGGGGCAUACCAAAUCCCAUCUAAAUCUAGGCAAAAAACAAAGGGGGGCAGAAAAAUAAAAAGCUCCCAGGGACUGUGUGAAGUUUACCUUGUGGUGGCUGUUGAAACUUUUCUUGCUUGAGAUCGAAUACAUUGAUUCAAAAACCAUAAAGUCCUGCCAAGAAAUGUAGAACAAAAAUUGCAUACAAGUUUCAGCCUGAAACUCCAAAUUUUGGCUGGAAUAAACCAAUUAGUUGGGAGGCUCUUUGGGAACUGAGAUAUGUUUACCUGAGAAAAUUGUCUGUAUGAAAGCAAAUUGGGCACCCAUGUUUUACCAGUGCCGGAUCUCAGGACCGUUUUCCAACCACCAACAUGAACGAAAUCGAAUUUCAUUGCGUGAAAUUAGGAUUUCAUGAGGGAGGAAAAGGGGGUGGAGACUUGUACAAUGCAUUGGUGGGAUGAAGGUGCUAGCUUGGCUGAGAUAGGAAGUUUCGAUGUGUAUGUAGAUUGAAUAGGGGGACUAUUUUCCCAUAAACCUGUUGGAUUUGAAGAUCAAAAAACAAGAACUAGUGUUAUGAGGGUUAGUGCAGACAAAACACAAAAAGUUGCUUGGCUCUUUAUAGCUAUGUGAUAUUCCUACAUGAAAAAAAGUCUAAUGGAUCUUGCUUGGGGAUGGCAUCCUUUGUAAAAGUUAGUCAACAAAAAAAAUCAACUACUAUGGAUUUUUUGGGCUAAAAUCAGUGCAGUCGGUGGGAAAAAAGAACACAACUAUGUUGCAUCCGCCCACGUGUAUAGAAAAAAAAGUAGGUAAUACGGUAAAGAAAUCAAAAUGCAAGUCAUGUUCAGGAAAUGUAAGCAAGAUCCUAAUUAACAUGUUCAGGGAAAAGGCAGGCAACUCCCUACUUGUUGUAGGCCACUCUAAUUUUGAUUGUAGGCAAGUCUAUAACCAAAAUACUGUAGACUUGAGCUAUUAGUCAUUUAUAGGAUCAAGAAGAUGUAGACUUGAUAUAUUAGAUUUUUUGAUUGUAGGCAACAUAGUUAGUAGUAAUAUCAUUUUACAAUUUAUUGAUCUCGGCAUUGACGAGUUUAAUGUGUAUACAACCAUUAUUAAAGCAAAAAAAACUGAACCAUGUCAGGCAACUAUGUAACAAAAACAUUAGAGAAAACUUUAGGAUUGUUCAUUAUCCAAGUUAUUUCGAGGCAAAAACCUACAAUUUGUCAGGCAAGUUUUGGCAAAGUAAAAACCAUUAACCAAAAUCUAAACUAUGUCAGGCAAUUAAGUAAACAAAAAAAUUACACAAAAGUUUAGGAUUGUUCAUUAUCUGAAGUAUUUCACCCCAGACACAAAAGAGCUCAAAUCUUACAUAGCAAGCGUUAGGCAAGUUUGGUGAAGGGGAAAACACUCAAAGGACAAAAG
rnacentral:lncRNA from 1 species